GACGCAUUCUGGCGGCGUGCUUAACACAUGCAAGUCGAACGGAAAGGCCUUUCGGGGUACUCGAGUGGCGAACGGGUGAGUAACACGUGGGUGAUCUGCCCUGCACUUUGGGAUAAGCCUGGGAAACUGGGUCUAAUACCGAAUAGGACCACGCGCUUCAUGGUGUGUGGUGGAAAGCUUUUGCGGUGUGGGAUGGGCCCGCGGCCUAUCAGCUUGUUGGUGGGGUAAUGGCCUACCAAGGCGACGACGGGUAGCCGGCCUGAGAGGGUGACCGGCCACACUGGGACUGAGAUACGGCCCAGACUCCUACGGGAGGCAGCAGUGGGGAAUAUUGCACAAUGGGCGCAAGCCUGAUGCAGCGACGCCGCGUGAGGGAUGACGGCCUUCGGGUUGUAAACCUCUUUCAAUAGGGACGAAGCGCAAGUGACGGUACCUAUAGAAGAAGCACCGGCCAACUACGUGCCAGCAGCCGCGGUAAUACGUAGGGUGCGAGCGUUGUCCGGAAUUACUGGGCGUAAAGAGCUCGUAGGUGGUUUGUCGCGUUGUUCGUGAAAACUCACAGCUUAACUGUGGGCGUGCGGGCGAUACGGGCAGACUAGAGUACUGCAGGGGAGACUGGAAUUCCUGGUGUAGCGGUGGAAUGCGCAGAUAUCAGGAGGAACACCGGUGGCGAAGGCGGGUCUCUGGGCAGUAACUGACGCUGAGGAGCGAAAGCGUGGGGAGCGAACAGGAUUAGAUACCCUGGUAGUCCACGCCGUAAACGGUGGGUACUAGGUGUGGGUUCCUUCCUUGGGAUCCGUGCCGUAGCUAACGCAUUAAGUACCCCGCCUGGGGAGUACGGCCGCAAGGCUAAAACUCAAAGGAAUUGACGGGGACCCGCACAAGCGGCGGAGCAUGUGGAUUAAUUCGAUGCAACGCGAAGAACCUUACCUGGGUUUGACAUGCACAGGACGCCGGCAGAGAUGUCGGUUCCCUUGUGGCCUGUGUGCAGGUGGUGCAUGGCUGUCGUCAGCUCGUGUCGUGAGAUGUUGGGUUAAGUCCCGCAACGAGCGCAACCCUUGUCCUAUGUUGCCAGCGGGUUAUGCCGGGGACUCGUAGGAGACUGCCGGGGUCAACUCGGAGGAAGGUGGGGAUGACGUCAAGUCAUCAUGCCCCUUAUGUCCAGGGCUUCACACAUGCUACAAUGGCCGGUACAAAGGGCUGCGAUGCCGUGAGGUGGAGCGAAUCCUUUCAAAGCCGGUCUCAGUUCGGAUCGGGGUCUGCAACUCGACCCCGUGAAGUCGGAGUCGCUAGUAAUCGCAGAUCAGCAACGCUGCGGUGAAUACGUUCCCGGGCCU
rnacentral:rRNA from 1 species